rnacentral:rRNA from 1 species
GACGAACGCUGGCGGCGUGCUUAACACAUGCAAGUCGAACGGAAAGGCCCUGCUUUUGUGGGGUUCUCGAGUGGCGAACGGGUGAGUAACACGUGAGUAACCUGCCCUUGACUUUGGGAUAACUUCAGGAAACUGGGGCUAAUACCGGAUAGGAGCUCCUGCUGCAUGGUGGGGGUUGGAAAGUUUCGGCGGUUGGGGAUGGACUCGCGGCUUAUCAGCUUGUUGGUGGGGUAGUGGCUUACCAAGGCUUUGACGGGUAGCCGGCCUGAGAGGGUGACCGGCCACAUUGGGACUGAGAUACGGCCCAGACUGCAACGGGAGGCAGCAGUGGGGAAUAUUGCACAAUGGGCGGAAGCCUGAUGCAGCAACGCCGCGUGCGGGAUGACGGCCUUCGGGGUGUAAACCGCUUUCGCCUGUGACGAAGAGUGAGUGACGGUAAUGGGUAAAGAAGCACCGGCUAACUACGUG